UUUUUAGUAGAAAGAUCUUGUUCUGUCUCCCAGGCUGCUGCAGUGUAGUGGCACAAUCAUAACUUACUGCAGCCUCAAAUUCCUAGGCUCAAGCAAUUCCUCCUGCCUCAGCCUCCUGAGCAGCUGAGACUACAGGCACAUGCCACCUUGGCUAAUAUUUAUAUUUUGUUUAGAAGUGAGUGUCUCACUGUGUUACCCAGGCUUGUCUUAAACUUCUGGGCUCCAGUGAUUCUCCCACCUUGGCCUUCCAAAUUUAUGGGAUUACAGACAUGAGUGACCGUGCCUGGCCUCCCUAUUCUUCUAUGUAACUUACUAGGUGGAUAAACUUUAGCAAGUUGUUUAACCUUCCUAAACUCAAAUAUAAGUCUUAUAUUAUAAUAAUAAUAAAUAAUAUAGUGUAUGUGAAAGUGUUCAUAUUCAUUUUCUAUUGCUACUUAACAAUACUACCACAAACUUAGAGGCUAAAUCAUCUCUGUGGGUCAGCAGUCUGGUCACGGCUUAGGUGGAUCCUCUGUUCAGGGUCUCACAAACCUGCAAUCCAGGUGUUGGCCAUACUGUCGUUCUUCUUCAAAGCUCAGUGUUCUCUUUCAAGAUCAUUCAGGUGACGGGAAGAAUUUGGUCCCUUGCAGUUGUAAAACUGGGGCCCCAAUUUUCUUUCCGACUAUUGGCUGGUGACCAUUCUGAGUUUCUAGAGACCACCCGCAGUUCUUUAUCAUGUGCUUUCCACCGACAGUGCACAAUCUAGCUCUUUGCUUUCUUCCAGGCCAGCAGGAAUGUAUCUGCUGAUACUUCUUAUUUAAGAGCUUAUCUAAUCAGGUCAAGCUCAUUGAGGAUAACUUCCAUUUUGAGAUUAACAAAUUAUAAUCUAAUCAUGCAAGUGAUAUCAUAUUCACAGUUUUACCCACACUCAAUGGUUGGGAGUAAUACAAAGAAAUAGAUCAUUGAGAGUCAUCGUAGAAUUCUGCUCAUUAUAUGUAGCAUACCAUGCCACCCACGCUCUAUAAAUAGAACAAUUAAAACAAGAUUUUAUAAGAAGUGCUACUUUGUGUAAUCUUUUUUUGAACAUCAGAAUCUUAACUAUAAUAAUCAAUUCAGUCUAGGAACCAUUAUGAAAUAGUAUUACCUCAAGGAUUUCUCAAAUUCUCGAUUUUUUUUUCCUAAAUUCAUUCAUAUCCUUCUCAUUCACUUAACAAAUAUGUGUUGGCUCUCUACUCUGUGCCAGGCACAGUGGUAGACACUGAUGAUAAGAUAGUCAUGGUCUCAGCCUUUGCAGAGCAUAUAAUUCAGUAGGAAGAAUAAGAUGACUAAAAAAAAAACCCCAAACAACUAAAGAAACAAAUAGGCACAAUAUUUGCUAACUGUGCUAAGAGCUUUCAGUCAUUGUAGGGCUUUCUAGUCACUGAAGACCCUUAAAUUAUUCUCUGAGUCUUCUU
rnacentral:lncRNA from 1 species